rnacentral:rRNA from 1 species
CCUACGGGUGGCAGCAGUGAGGAAUAUUGGUCAAUGGUCGGGAGACUGAACCAGCCAAGCCGCGUGAGGGAUGAAGGUACAGAGUAUCGUAAACCUCUUUUGUCAGGGAACAAAGACUGGGACGCGUCCCCGGAUGGGUGUACCUGAAGAAAAAACAUCGGCGAACUCCCUGCCAGCAGCCGCGGUAAUACGGAGGAUGCGAGCGUUAUCCGGAUUUAUUGGGUUUAAAGGGUGCGCAGGGGGAAGGUUUAGUCAGCGGUAAAAGCGCGGGGCGAAACCCCGGCCCGCCGUUGAAAAGGGCAGUCGCGAGUGGGAGAGAAGUAUGCGGAAUGCGCGGUGUAGCGGUGAAAUGCAUAGAUAUCGCGCAGAACUCCGAGUGCGAAGGCAGCAUGCCGGCGCCACACUGACGCUGAGGCACGAAAGCGUGGGGAUCGAACAGGAUUAGAUACCCCGGUAGUC